rnacentral:tRNA from 2 species
CCGCCAUUAGCUCAGCGGGAAGAGCGGUUAUCCCGUAUGGAGAUGACGGUGCGGGGUUCAAGUCCCCGAUGGCGGUCCA